rnacentral:rRNA from 1 species
CCCUUAGACGUUCUGGGCUGCACGCGCGCUACAAUAAUACGCACAGCGAGUAUCACCGAGCUCGAAAGGGCAAGGUAAACAAUAGAAAAGGUACUGUAAUGGUUAUAGAUCCUUGUAAUUAUUGAUCUUCAACGAGGAAUUCCUAGUAAGUAUGUGUCAUCAUCACGCACUGAUUACGUCCCUGCCCUUUGUACACACCGCCCGUCGCUCCUACCGAUUGGGUGAGCCGAUGAAACUCUCGGAUGUAGGCUAUUCAUAGCCCGCAGAAGAGAUUUGAAUCGUAGCGCUUAGAGGAAGGAGAAGUCGUAACA